rnacentral:lncRNA from 1 species
GCCUUUUGGAUAAGGUAUAUCCCUCUCUUUUGGCAUCCCUCUAGUAGCUAUAAAUAGGCCUGGGUGCUGGGUAUCCGAUGAAUCUAAGAGGGGUUUCUAAUUUCUCUCCUGUUGCUCUCCUUUCUUUCUUACAACCUAUCUUAGUUUUAGGACAAGGCUUUGGGAUUUAAGACAAAGCCUUAUCUAGUCCUAACAAGGGUUGUAAGGGUCCUAAAGAAGAAGAAUUAAAAGUCCAGAGGAGGUUCUAAGAGGGU